CUAACUUUUGAAGGAGUAACGUCUGUCACAACAAUUGGAAUAGCUGCUUGAAAUGUGAAGAAAGAGAUGCCCGAAAUAAAAAACAUCAACGCGAUUAUAAAUCACGCUGUCGGAGUAAAUGCCUUCAAGGGAGCAGUGUUAACUUUAUCCUCAAAGUACCUGAAUCAGAGAUGUCAUCCCAGUACGGAGAGUCAAACUCAUAAUCGCCUGCCAGGAUCUUUCGGAACAGAUCACAACUUACAGUAUGUACAUGAUGACACCUGUUGCCCAGCAGUCCACAGGCCUGCCAUAUCGCUGUCUGCCCACCACCUCGGGAGCUGCACAAGAGCACAGAAACUUCAUCAAAAUCUGUACUCUGGUGUCCCACAGGGGUCUUUGAUUAGUCCGUUCUCCAGCUUGGCAAGAUGGAAGUCGCUG